UGACCUCCGACUUCCGAGGUAAAUGGAACGCACCACAAAACACAGGAGUAAAUAACUUCCAAAAUCACAAGAACAAAUACUUGCAGACCAACACAAUGGAUAUCGCAACAGCAAUUGGCGCCCACGUAGCUGAAUGGUUACAGCACCUACCAUAUAAGGCCCCUACUUGCUGCAUGUCACACCCCUCUCUCUCCUCCUUUCUAUCUGCCUGCUUACUAUCAGCUGUCCAACAAAGGGAUGCAGUGUGAGGACUGUCAGACGGAUGGAUGGCAUCAAAAAAUCUCAAAUACAAAACUGCUUCUCUGUCAAUCAACAGCUCCACCAGAAAUGGCUUUACAAAUUAAAACUCUGAUGAAAAACA